UGGGGAAUUUUGGACAAUGGGGGAAACCCUGAUCCAGCCAUCCCGCGUGUGCGAUGAAGGCCUUCGGGUUGUAAAGCACUUUUGGCAGGAAAGAAACGUCAUGGGUUAAUACCCCGUGAAACUGACGGUACCUGCAGAAUAAGCACCGGCUAACUACGUGCCAGCAGCCGCGGUAAUACGUAGGGUGCAAGCGUUAAUCGGAAUUACUGGGCGUAAAGCGUGCGCAGGCGGUUCGGAAAGAAAGAUGUGAAAUCCCAGAGCUCAACUUUGGAACUGCAUUUUUAACUACCGGGCUAGGGUGUGUCAGAGGGGGGUGGAAUUCCGCGUGUAGCAGUGAAAUGCGUAGAUAUGCGGAGGAACACCGAUGGCGAAGGCAGCCUCCUGGGAUAACACUGACGCUCGUGCACGAAAGCGUGGGGAGCAAACAGG
rnacentral:rRNA from 1 species